CUUAUUCUCAUCAUUCAUUGUAUCAUCCUUUCUUCCUCAUUCACUUAUCUUCAUCCUCAUUUUUCUUUUGUUCCUCUCCAAAAUCCAAAAUUCGUCACUUCCUUGGAGCAGCCGAGAACUCAAAUUUCGGAAGCUCAAAUGAGAAAACUUUCUUCAUAAAAGUUGUUCAUUUCCAUGAUUCCUAUAACAUACUCAAAUUUCAGCUCAAUCCGACUAGUAUAGGCUCUGAAACGUUGGUGUUCUACUCUGCGUACUUUCGAGGACGAAACCGCACAAGGUUAAGCUAGCUGGACUUGAGAUUGUGCAGGAUUAAAGAAGAAGUUUGAGGAAGCGGGUUCAACUAAGCUGCUGGGCUUUUAUUGU